rnacentral:lncRNA from 1 species
GAAUUAUUUUUAAAUCAGUGGUAGCAACUGUAUAAUCUUAUAAUGGUAACCUACCAGUAAAACUCUCUACUCUUUUAAAAGAAACAUAUUACAAGCAAAUUGAAAUAUAUGAUUAAUUAGCAAUUAACUAAAGCUGUUACCCAAAUAAUAUUCUGUAGUGAAGAUAAAAGCAGAUAAAUCUUGAAUUAUAAAUUGUCAUGUUAAAUUCUUUUUCUUCCUUGAGGGUAAAGGGAAAUCAGAUCACAGAAAUAUUUUAAAAUAUCAGAAUCAUUAUAUUGUGGAGGCAAAGAACACAGAUACUUUCCUAACAUUGAUCAGUGCAAAAUCUGGCUUGAAAUACCCUGAACCCUACGGAUGUUCUGGCUCUGCCAUUUUCUAACUGUGUGACCUUAGGUAAGUCACUUCUCUAAACUUCAGUUUCCUUAACUAUAAAAAAUGAUAAUAAUGGCACCUGCAUCUAGAGCUCUAUUAGGGUAAAAUAAGAAAUUCAGUCAAGUGCAUAAUGUAAUGCUAGUAUCUUGGACAUAGUGUGUGUGUAUAUAUAUAUAUAUUCUCAAUAUAUAUAAGAUAAUGCUAGUAUCUUGGACAUAGUAUAUAUAUAUAUAUGUAUAUAUUCAACAAAUUAAACACCAUUAUUAUUUUAUUAAAAGCAUUUUACAAUUCAUGGCACUAGCUAUUCUAAUCAGGACUGUUUAUCAAAAGUGAGAUUCCAGUGAAAUCUGUACCUUCCUCCACAGUGUAAGAGCUAAUGGCCUCUCUCCUCAGAUUCCACACAUAGCACUUCACUCAUGCUUAAAGACUAGUAUCUGACGUUUGCAGUUGGAAACGACUAUGGCUAGCUGGAAAUGUAUGAGCCUGUCUUUAUUACUAGAUAAUAAAUUCUGGAGGAUAGGGACCAUGUAUUUUGAAUAGUAUUUUAAUCACAUCCACAGCUGUGAUUAUACUGCCUGCAUAUGGUUAAAAUGACCAGCAAAGAUAAAAUUUCAGUCGGUAGUCCAUCCCUGCAAUCUUGAGUUACACAACAAAACAAAAGGAAGGGAAUCUCUACCUGAACUGUCUAUAGUCGAGGUGCCCAGCCACCUGAGAUGAAUCCUAAUAGGGAUCUAAUAUGGAGCUGCAGGGGCUUCAGAGUGAGAACCUUCUGGGGUAGAAAGAGGAACUGGGCUUUGCUGUCUCUAGGAAGAAAGGGGUAGCCUGAACUCCUGAUGUUAAUAUGUUUGCUGGCACUCUGUGUCUUCACAGCGGCCAGCCACCAGACUCCACUUUGCCCCAGUCACUGUCUACUCUUUUCAAAGUAUAUUUGUGAUGGGUUUAUGAGACCUGAAGUCCUAUUUCUGCUAAUAAAUCUGCUUCCCUUCUCAAUAUACACACACAUGCAGGUUCACACAAUGACAUGCACAAUCCUCCUUAUUCAAUGUUAGUCCUGACCUGAACUGUAAUUGGGCUUUCUAUAAUACCAUUUGAAUGGUGUAAAACUCCACGGAAGUAAAAUUAGAAGGGCCCAUCAUGCGGUGUGUUUACUGUAAUGCACUUCUAUUCAUUUUAGAAGUGGGUGGUACUUUACAUGGCUUUUUGGUCUUACUGGAGGAAAAUGAUCUUUUGGUAUUACUGGAGGAUAAUGAUCUUACUUCAGAUCUUUUUGCUGAUUUCUCUAUAGUGUUCUGGAGAGAAGUUUUUUUGGCCUUGCCUACAGCAUGUGGAAGUUCUCAGGCCAGGGAAUGAACCUGUGCCACAGCAGUGACCUGAGACCCUAUAAAGGCAAUGCUGGAUCCUUAACCUGCUGCACCACAAGGGAACUCCUGGAGAGACAUUUUAGACAUAAGCUAUUUAAAGAUCUGAUCACAAUUCUGUCAAUUCAAUUCAAUUCACCAAACCUCUUUUGAACUUCUAUUACAAAGAAUUGAAAGCAAUAUUGGAGAUAUACAAACAAGUAAUAGGGCACAGUCCCUAGUCUCUAUAGAGGCCAUAAUGUAACAUCAUUACCACUGUCUAAAGGUGCUUCUUAAUGAUUCUAUCAUAUAUAGUAUACUAGAUGAGGUAUGCACAGGUUAAGCAAACAACAAAGCCUCCUUAAAUCCUCUUUUGAAAAAGAGAAUGCACAUAAAUAGUAACAUGUUCCCAAGCUUACUCUUGACAAGCAACACAAACCCUCCAAAUAUGAAAUACAUUCAGUUAAAAAUUAUAAUGAAGCCUAAUUUACUCACUACUUUCAAAGAAUGAAAAUGUUUUAAUUUCCCUGAUAAUAGAAAUAUUUAUUCCUUUUAAAGCACCAAAACUUUUAAUAUAUUAACCAAUUAGAUGAAUAUCUUUCUAAAAUGUCUGAUCUAUUUCCCCUGCUUUGUAAAAUUAUAUAUCCUGAACUAAAUCUAACAUUUUCUUAGUGAGACUGGAAUAUCAUUAUGAGCAUCAAAUAGUAUGCUGUACUUAAAUAGGGAACUUUUCAAGAACAAUACUGAGGUGUGCAGAGCUAUUUUUCAGUACACUUAACUGGACUCAGACUAUAUUUUUGGUUUAUCUGUUUACUUAUUUUAAGUAUUUUUAAAACUCUUGACUGUCCAGAUCAGUUACUAUUGUUCUGCAAUAAGCUACCCAAAUUUAGUAGCAUAAAAAAUGAUUAUGCUCUCAUAUUCUAUGGAUUAGGAAUUCAGAAAGGGCAGGUGGGGACAGUUCUCUGUUCUACAGUGUCUGACCUCUCAUCUAGGAAGACUCAGAUGACUAGGAGUCACUUUAGUAGCUGGAAUCUAGAAGAGCUGGGACUGGAGUAUCCCGCUUCAUGAUGAUCCACUCUCCUGUGUGGUAUCUAGGCUGGGACAGCUAAAGGCUGAGCUCAGCUGAGACUCUUGACUAGAACCCUAUACAUGGUCUCUUAACAUGGUUUGAGAUUUUCACAGCAUGGUGACUGGGUUCCAAGAGGGAAAGCCCCAAAAGGGGGCUUCCCUAGGAUGAGUUUUCCAAGAGAAACAGACGGAAGCUUCAUGACUUUUUCUCUUGGACUCAGAAAUCAUAUAGUACCGUUCACUUAGCAAUAAAUGAGUCAUAACGUCAGUCCCAAAUUCAAGGAAACAAGAUAUAUACUCUACUUAUUGAUGGGGUAAUGGCAAGGUUAUACUGGAGGAUAGCAUGAGGGAUGAGAGAGAUUUUUGGCACCAUCUUUGAAAAAUACAAUCUGUCAGCAACCAUUUAGUAUCAUUAUUUUCAUGUCUUACCCCUGUAGCCUUCCCACACACUUAAAGUUUCAGUUCUAAAGUCCUAAAGUAGCAAAACAAACUAGCUUUCCAAAAUUGAAUGUAAAAUCAAAUAUGCAAUCAUUUGGGUGAGGCAGUCAUGAGGGUUCUCUUAUGAAUGAGCUUACUGAGUUUUAAUAUACUCACCUGAUGAUAGUCACUCAGGCUGCCCUGAGGCUUUUCCUCACUGCUUUCCAAAUAGUGCAAGAGCCGGAUGUUAUGGACUGAAUUAUGCCCCCACCCCAUCCCCAGUCCUGUGCUGAAGCCCUAACGCCCAGUGUGAUUGUAUUUAGAGAUAGGACCUUUAAGGGGGUAACUAAGAUUAAAUGAGGUCAUAAGGGUGAGGCUUUUAAUCCAUUCAGACAGGUGCCCUUAUAAGAAAACAAAGAGACAAUAGGGGGCACACAUGUAGAGGAAAAGUCAUGAGAGGACGUAGUGAGAAGGUGGCCAUCUCAAAGCCAGGGACUGAGGCCUUAGGAGAAACCAAACCUGCCAACUCUUUGAUCUUGGACUUCUGGCCUUCAAAAUAUGAGGAAAUAAAUUUUUGUUGUUUAAGCCACCCAGUUGUAGUAUUUUACAUGGCAGCUCAAGAUGACUGAAAUACUGGAUGGCUGACUUCUCAGAGGAUGUGACCUUAGUCCUCCUGCUCCAGGGCUUUUCUCCUCUAUGCUCUCUUUGCUCUACGCAUGUAUUCACAUGUUUCUAUGACAUUGUUUAUGCUGUUCCUUCUGUCUAGAACGUUUUUUCCUCCUUGUCUGGGCCUAUUAACUCAUCCCUUAAUGCUUAGCUCAGAUGUCAUCUUCUCUUUGUUUUACUUGACCAUAAUCACUCUAUUCUCCAUGCACAUACCUUGAUUUUAUCAUUUUUAAUAUCAAGUGGUAAUUAGCCAUCUCUGAGCCUCUCUCCCUUGCUAUAGAAUAUGCUGUUUGAGGGAAGGGACUGCAUCCUAGUGCCUCCAGUUUCUGUUUCAGAGUCCUUCAUUUUGUAGGUGCUCAAUACAUGUUUGUUGAUUUAAUACAUUAUAUUAGAACCCAUAAAAUUUAAGACCUGGACGACACUUAUCUCAUGAUCUAAUCCAGACUCUCAUUUUACAAGUGAAGAAAAUGCAGUCUGAAAAGGUUUUUUCAGACAGAUAUUCUAAAGGAAAUUACCAUCACGCUUCUAGUUGUACAAAAAAAAAAAGAAUAUCUGAAAGGUAAUAAUUUGGGGAAAUGAUUGAACAACUGAAGGCAUGAGCUCAUAGAGCUGAGAAGGGGACUGUGUUCCAGACCCUGGGUGGGGCAUCCAGGAAGGUUUGGAGACAGAAGUAGGUGACUGAGCUGAUGUGUGCACAUUAAAAAUACCGUGGUUUGGGGAGUUCCUGCUGUGGUUCAGCAGGUUAAGAGCCCAACUAGAAUCCAUGAGGAUGCGUGUUUGAUCCCUACCCUCGCUCAGAGGAUUAAGGAUCUGGCAUUGCUGCAAGCUACUGCAUAAGUUGCAGAUGUGGCUCAGAUCUGUUGUGGCUGUGGCAUAGGCUGGCAGGCAGUUGCAGCUCUGAUUUGAGCCUGAGAACUUCCAUAUGCUGCAGGUGCAGCCC